AUUGAACGCUGGCGGCAUGCCUUACACAUGCAAGUCGAACGGUAACAGGUCUUCGGAUGCUGACGAGUGGCGAACGGGUGAGUAAUACAUCGGAACGUGCCUAGUAGUGGGGGAUAACUACUCGAAAGAGUGGCUAAUCCCGCAUGAGAUCUACGGAUGAAAGCAGGGGAUCGCAAGACCUUGUGCUACUAGAGCGGCAGAUGGCAGAUUAGGUAGUUGGUGGGGUAAAAGCUUACCAAGCCGACGAUCUGUAGCUGGUCUGAGAGGACGAUCAGCCACACUGGGACUGAGACACGGCCCAGACUCCUACGGGAGGCAGCAGUGGGGAAUUUUGGACAAUGGGCGCAAGCCUGAUCCAGCAAUGCCGCGUGCAGGAUGAAGGCCUUCGGGUUGUAAACUGCUUUUGUACGGAACGAAAAGCCCUGGGUUAAUACCCUGGGGUCAUGACGGUACCGUAAGAAUAAGCACCGGCUAACUACGUGCCAGCCGCCGCGGUAA
rnacentral:rRNA from 1 species